rnacentral:rRNA from 1 species
CAAAGGUAGCAUAAUCAUUAGUUCUUUAAUUGGGAACUGGAAUGAAGGGUUGGACAAAGGAAAAACUGUCUUUAAAAUAUAAAUUGAAAUUUACUUUUAAGUGAAAAGGCUUAAAUAUUUCAAGGGGACGAUAAGACCCUAUAAAGUUUUAUAUAUUAUUUAGAUUUAGUUUAUUUAUAAAAUAAAGGUUAAGUUUAAGUUAUAUAUUUUGUUGGGGCGAUAUGAGUAUAAUUUAUAUUAACUGCUUAAAGUGAAUACAAUUAUAAGUGAUUAUGUGAGUAUAUGAUCCUAAUUAAAGAUUAAAAGAUUAAGUUACUUUAGGGAUAACAGCGUUAUUUCUUUUGAGAGUUCAUAUCGAAAAAGAAGUUUGCGACCUCGAUGUUGAAUUAAAAUGUCUAUAUAAUGCAGCCGUUAUAUAAGAAGGUCUGUUCGACCUUUAAAUUUUUACAUGAUUUGAGUUC